GGCUAGUCCGAUGGUAGUGGGUUAUCAGAACUUAUUAACAUUAGUAUCACAAAAGUUGGUACUCAACAACCCCCCACUGCUAAAUUUGACUGGUUAAA
rnacentral:Y_RNA from 1 species